rnacentral:tRNA from 1 species
GUCUCUGUGGCGAAUCGGUUAGCCGCUCGCUUGUUAACCUAAAGGUUGGUGGUUCGAGCCCACCAGGACG